rnacentral:tRNA from 1 species
GUGGGUAAAGCUCAGCAGUAAGAGCGCAUGCCUAGCAUGCAUGAGGUCCGGAGUUCAAUCCCCAGUACCUCCA